rnacentral:rRNA from 1 species
AUUGAACGCUGGCGGCAUGCCUUACACAUGCAAGUCGAACGGCAGCGGGCCUUCGGGUGCCGGCGAGUGGCGAACGGGUGAGUAAUGCAUCGGAACGUGCCAUUGAGUGGGGGAUAACGUAGCGAAAGUUACGCUAAUACCGCAUAUUCUGUGAGCAGGAAAGCAGGGGACCGCAAGGCCUUGCGCUCUUUGAGCGGCCGAUGUCAGAUUAGCUAGUUGGUGAGGUAAAGGCUUACCAAGGCGACGAUCUGUAGCGGGUCUGAGAGGAUGAUCCGCCACACUGGAACUGAGACACGGUCCAGACUCCUACGGAGGCAGCAGUGGGGAAUUUUGGACAAUGGGCGCAAGCCUGAUCCAGCCAUGCCGCGUGAGUGAAGAAGGCCUU